GUUAUGCUUAUCUGACAGAAGGUUUGUUGAUUUCAAGUCACUAGGAACAGUGCCUCCAAAAUUAAAAUUCACUCUCCAACUGAGCAGCACAUACUAGCUCAAGGCAAUUAAACAGACUGCUUCUUUCCUUCUAGCGGUAGAGUCAGCUCUGUUUGCCUGUCACUGGGCUCAAGGAAUUACAAAGUAUAAAGAGUUACAGUAGCAAUUCC
rnacentral:lncRNA from 1 species